GGUAUAUUGCUGCUUUUCCAAUAUGCACACGGCAUUUAAGCGUAAAAGCAAAAAGAAAAUGCAUAGCAUUAUUGCUGGUAUUCAACUUUUUCCAUUCAUGACUUCUCGGUUCGGCAUCUGUCUGAUUAAUUUGUACGGGAAGACGAAAACGUUCUUUGCGGAGGUUUCUUCAUGCUCUACCAUGUUUACAAUUUGCCUCAUUGUGUGGGUCUAGUACGAACAGAAUAGAUUUUGAUUUCGCAUCAACAGUUAUUUGGGAGGUAUUUACGUUCUAAUAUCAUAUGCAUUAAAUAAUUUUUAAUCGACCACCAAAUCCCAUCAACUUGCCUGUUAAGAAAAUAAACCAAUUCGGUCGUUUGAAAUGACCUAUCUGAAGAACUGGACUACUUAUAUGCAUAGCAAAAUACACGUUUUCUUUAAAAUAAAC
rnacentral:lncRNA from 1 species